UGUCGACUUAGGAAGAUAACAUCCCAAAAUAUAUGAUUGAACUGUUAAACAAGAAGUCAAAUGUUUUAGAGGACAGAACACAGAUACACCCUAUGUAGACAAUAUGUGAACGACAGAGGGUUUCUACUUGUAACUUGUGCCGUUUUGGGGUAGCCAUUGAUUUACAAUGAUAAAUACAUUUCUUGUUAUCAUCCUUGAUUUUUAAAGAUAAAGUAUAUUGAAACGUUCCUAAUUCAUAUUUGAAGAAAAAUCUAUAUGGUCCAAAUACUCAUAUGGUCCGGCCCGUUGAUAAUUAGACAUAUACUCAUAAAGUCUGGAACAUAAUCAUUGUGCUAACGGAUAGGAUUUUCUUUCAUUAAUAGCUAAAUGGUGUAUGGUCGUUAAACCCUGAGUGUUCGUGCAAUACAUGCCUUUGUGAAGAUUCGCAAUGUAUAAUUUAACAUAUUUUUGCAGGAUAAGAUUCAUAUUGCAGAUACUCAGAUCGAAUUUUUACAGUAAAAUUGACGAGACAGAGGGAGAUUUUCAUCUAAAUAGAAUUCUGCAACAAACAAAACUAGAGGCUCUAAAGAGCCUGUGUUGCUCAUCUUGGUCUAUGUGCAUAUUAAACAAAGGAAAUACAUUAUAGACAAGAAUUCAUGAUUAAAAUUCUGUUUUUGUGAUUGUGAUGUAUUUGUAGAUCUUACUUUACUUCUCUAUGUAUAAUGCCCAGUAGUUUCAGAGGAAAAGAUAUGUAAAACAUUACAUUGGGUCAAUUGGCAAUUUUGAUUACAUGACUUAUUUGUAGAGCCUGUAGUUUCUGAGGAAAAGAUUUGUAAAGAAUUUUAUUGGGUCAAUUGGCAAUUUUGAUCACUUGACUUAUUUGUAGUUCUUAUUUACCUUGUUUACUGAAUAAUAUUGAUAUUUGCAGUAAAUCUCUA
rnacentral:lncRNA from 1 species